ensembl:lncRNA
CCACAAUUUUCUCCCCGCUCUCUUGAUUCUGAACUGUUUCUACUGAUUUCAACUGAUGUAAAAUACAUCUGACUAAGGCUGCUAUUAUUUUGCCUAGAAUUUAGUUGCUGUUUUGUUGCAUUUAUAGCUGAAAAAAAAAAAAGGCUUUAAAAAAAAAUUAAUUAUUUACAGAUUAGAAAGAAGCAGAGGAGGAACUUUCCAUGCAGCUUAUACCUUGAUGUAAAAGCUGAGAACCACAUUUGAGAAUCACAUCUCUUCCAGAACAGUAAUGGAAGGUUCCAGUUUCAGUCAACACUGGUCAGGGACUCCCUCAUUAGAAAGCCACAUGCUGUCCAAGUACAGGAAUGAAAGCUGCCAGUACAGAACUGGGAGGUCAGCAAUUCUGCCAAUGAGCUCAUCAGGGUCAGCGUGGAUUCUUCAUACACCCCAGCAGGAUACUAUUAAGAUCAUGCUUGCUCUUGUGGUAACCAUUGUUCAGUUCAGGUCUGUUCUGGAAGCACUGAAGGAGUUAAAAGAAUUUUAUUCCAAGAAAAUACAUUCAAAACAAGCAAAUGAAAAGCCAAUGAAGAAUUCAUCUCAGGAUGAAAAAAAUCUGGCUGAUGGCUGCUCUGAAAAGACUGCUUCAGUACUGGAUCAGUGGAUCCAGUUGUUACUGCUUUUCUAGAUUAUGAGACAGCUGUUAUUGGAGAUAUGUCUUCAUAUUGGUCUCAAUGAUAAAGGAACAAGAAAUCACAUUACUUCAGCCCUUGUUACGUCAUCAUCACCAGACCCAUAGAACUUUCAGAGAUAUCAGGAUUUACAGAAGGAUCUUCUAAUGAAGGAAAAAGCUAUUAAAUCAACAGAUCUUUGCAGAGAUGACUGAGAUUCUUCACUAUUUAAGCAAUUUUCAAGAGGAUUAUAUGGUGGCUUAAUUGCAGCUGUUACAUGCAAAACAAUUAGUCAGAUAACCAUGCUAGAAUUGGAAAUGUAAGAUGAUUUAAUUCUAGUGGUCUAAAAAGAAAAUUGCUUUGUUAUUUUGUGAGUAGUCUUAUCUCAUUUUCCAUUAUAACUUAAACUUUGAAUCCACCUUUCAAACAGUAUGCAAGGCAGUUCUUAAAUUAUAGCAAAGGUUUUAUUGUUGUUGCUGUUGUUUACCAGUUUUCAAAGUAUUUGGAAAAUGCAUUCCAGAGGGAAAUGCAAUCAUUUCUGUACAUAUUAUACACCUCCUAUUCACUAUAUUUGGCACCUGUCUACUUGGUAGGCCAAACAAAGCUUAUUCUCUAACAUAAAUGUGAAAAGCUGUGUAAGAGCUUUGUAAAAUUUUAAAAGCAUCAUUAAAGUUAAUCUAGAUCAGUACUCCUACUAUCAUAUGAUUCACACUAAAAAUGGACUUCUUACUCUGCAAUUUCAAGCUAACAUACAUUAAUGUCUAGGUAAGAAUGUUAUAAGAAAUGUCAAAACUUAUAACAGAAACAUUUCUAUGUAGAAUUUAAUUUACCCUUCCAUUUGACAUUCCAAAGAGUAGUUCUCAGAGGCAAUACAUGACCGUAUUUUGUAUUCUUACUGUGCACUUACCUUUUGAAUUAAAAAAAAAAAAAGACAACUUUUUAUGGAAAGAUAACUGUAAUCACAGUCAAGCAUUCUGUGCCUAGCUGUAUUUCUGUUUAUGAACAUAAUUUGGACCUCUUCCAUAUAAGGUUUCUGAACUGUUUGGUCACCUGGGGACAGAAGGAUUUGAGUCCUCAGUUGCAUGAUCACCCAGAGAGCUAUCAUUUCUUGAAGCACCGUAAUGAUAUUUGUAAAACGUAAGUCUGACUAUUCUGACACUUAAAAUAAUUUUGAAGUGUGCAUGAGGUAACUAGCAGGGAAAUGGAAAUAGCAAGAAGUUUGACAACUGUAUGUGAGGUUUCUGACUUCAUGAAUCCAAUAACUGCAUUUUUGAAGGGUUUCUGCAUAUAAACUGUAUGAUCAGAUAAGAUAGUGGUAACUUCCAUGUUUUCCCUGAAAAACAAAACAAACAAACAAACAAACAAAAACUUUCACAAUUUACUCUAAUUCUUAUCAAGUAAACCAAAGAAAUCUAAAAAAAUAUAAGGUAUGGUAAAUUCAAAACUGAGCCACUUAUUCUCUCUUAUUUGCAGAACACAGUUAGCAGCAAGUGUCACAAAUAGGGAAGACAAAGAGAAGAGUCUGUCUUCAACUUUUUAGGAAGAUCUAACACUAAGGUAGCACUAAGACAACAAAGUACUACAGGGCAAAAUUGUAAAGUGAAACAGAAUAAUUUUCAAUCUUGACAAUGAGGAAUUCCAAUCAGUGAUCAUAAAACUAGAUAGAACAGCAAAGUGACAGGUUUAUGACAAUGUAGACAACUGCAAUGCAAAACACUUUUGAAAGAUUUUGCCCUUCAAAAUGUGUCUUUCUCUAUGAGUUAUUCCAAUCAGGAUAGAAAUUCCAUACAGAGAUUCUUGACAACAAUUUGAAAACAGACACUAAAAAAACACUAAAAAUACCAUAACUGUCCAAAUAAGAAGAAAUUAUUCAAAAUGAAAUACCUGCAAAUAUUAAGCUGGAUAUAAAAAAUAUGAUAUUCUAAUGUUCUUUUAUUUAUCUUGUGAUAAACGCACACAUAUCUCCCUAUUGAUGGCCUCUACAUGAAAAGCAAAAUAAAAUAAAAAGAUAAAUAACUAUUUUUCAAGGAUAUGCUUGUAAGAAAACUGCUAUAAGUAUGGAGCCAUAAAAUCUGUAGAAGACAUAACAUUAAUAAACAUUACAUUAGUUUAUUUUGUGUUAUUCUGUUUCUGAAAUAAUAAAUAUCAUAAGAAUAUGAAUGGAUAAAUCUGUCUACUUUUUUGCCUUAAUUAACUAGCCAG